GGGGAAUAUUGGGCAAUGGGGGAAACCCUGACCCAGCGACGUCGCGUGAGGGAAGAAGGUCUUCGGAUUGUAAACCUUUGUCAACAGGGAAGAAGCAAGUGACGGUACCUGAAGAGGAAGCCACGGCUAACUACGUGCCAGCAGCCGCGGUAAUACGUAGGUGGCGAGCGUUAUCCGGAAUUACUGGGUGUAAAGGGUGUGUAGGCGGGGAUGCAAGUCAGAUGUGAAAUCCAUGGGCUCAACCUAUGGUGUGCAUUUGAAACUGCGUUUCUUGAGUGUGGGAGAGGUAAGCGGAAUUCCUAGUGUAGCGGUGAAAUGCGUAGAUAUUAGGAGGAACACCAGUGGCGAAGGCGGCUUACUGGACCACAACUGACGCUGAGACACGAAAGCGUGGGGAGCAAAC
rnacentral:rRNA from 1 species